rnacentral:rRNA from 1 species
CGAAGGGGGCUAGCGUUGUUCGGAAUUACUGGGCGUAAAGCGCGCGCAGGCGGUUCUUUAAGUCAGGGGUGAAAGCCCAGAGCUCAACUCUGGAAUUGCCUUUGAAACUAGAGAACUUGGGUACGGGAGAGGUGAGUGGAAUUCCGAGUGUAGAGGUGAAAUUCGUAGAUAUUCGGAAGAACACCAGUGGCGAAGGCGGCUCACUGGCCCGUUACCGACGCUCAGGCGCGACAGCGUGGGGAGCAAACAGGAUUAGAUACCCUGGUAGUCCACGCCGUAAACGAUGGAUGCUAGCCGUUGGUAAGCAUGCUUAUCAGUGGCGCAGCUAACGCAUUAAGCAUCCCGCCCGGGGAGUACGGCCGCAAGGUUG